CCUACGGGAGGCAGCAGUUAAGAAUAUUCCGCAAUGGACGCAAGUCUGACGGAGCGACGCCGCGUGGAUGAAGAAUGCCGAAAGGUUGUAAAAUCCUUUUAAGCCUGAUGAAUAAGCACAAUAGGGAAUGAUUGUGAGGUGACCGUAGGGCUUGAAUAAGCACCGGCUAAUUACGUGCCAGCAGCCGCGGUAACACGUAAGGUGCGAGCGUUGUUCGGAAUUAUUGGGCGUAAAGGGCAUGUAGGCGGAUAGGCAAGCUUGGUGUGAAAUGUUACAGCUUAACUGUGAGACAGCAUUGAGAACUGCCGAUCUUGAAUUACUGAAGGGUAACCAGAAUUCCACGUGUAGGGGUGAAAUCUGUAGAUAUGUGGAAGAAUACCAAUGGCGAAGGCAGGUUACCGGCAGAUAAUUGACGCUGAGGUGCGAAAGUGCGGGGAGC
rnacentral:rRNA from 1 species